AGAGUUUGAUUAUGGCUCAGGAUGAACGCUAGCGAUAGGCCUAACACAUGCAAGUCGAGGGGCAGCACAUGAAGUAGCAAUACGGAUGGUGGCGACCGGCGCACGGGUGAGUAACGCGUAUGCAACCUGCCUACAACAGGGGAAUAACCCGUUGAAAGACGGACUAAUACCCCAUAACACAGGGAUCCCGCAUGGGAAUAUUUGUUAAAGAUUUAUCGGUUGUAGAUGGGCAUGCGUUCCAUUAGCUGGUUGGUGAGGUAACGGCUCACCAAGGCAACGAUGGAUAGGGGAACUGAGAGGUUUAUCCCCCACACUGGUACUGAGACACGGACCAGACUCCUACGGGAGGCAGCAGUGAGGAGUAUUGGUCAAUGGACGCAAGUCUGAACCAGCCACGUCGCGUGAAGGAAGACGGCCCUACGGGUUGUAAACUUCUUUUGUAAGGGAAUAAAGUGCAGUACGUGUACUGUUUUGCAUGUACCUUACGAAUAAGGAUCGGCUAACUCCGUGCCAGCAGCCGCGGUAAUACGGAGGAUCCGAGCGUUAUCCGGAUUUAUUGGGUUUAAAGGGUGCGCAGGCGGGAGAUUAAGUCGGCGGUGAAAUUUUGCAGCUCAACUGUAAAAGUGCCUUCGAAACUGGUUUUCUUGAGUGUGGAUGAAGUAGGCGGAAUUUGUGGUGUAGCGGUGAAAUGCAUAGAUAUCACGAGGAACUCCGAUUGCGCAGGCAGCUUACUAAACCAUAACUGACGCUCAGGCACGAAGGCGUGGGGAUCAAACAGGAUUAGAUACCCUGGUAGUC
rnacentral:rRNA from 1 species